rnacentral:rRNA from 6 species
AAAUUGAAGAGUUUGAUCAUGGCUCAGAUUGAACGCUGGCGGCAGGCCUAACACAUGCAAGUCGAACGGUAACAGGAAGCAGCUUGCUGCUUUGCUGACGAGUGGCGGACGGGUGAGUAAUGUCUGGGAAACUGCCUGAUGGAGGGGGAUAACUACUGGAAACGGUGGCUAAUACCGCAUAACGUCGCAAGACCAAAGAGGGGGACCUUCGGGCC